rnacentral:misc_RNA from 1 species
UUUCCGUAGGUGAACCUGCGGAAGGAUCAUUAUUAUAUAACCGAGCUUCAAAGACUCUCUCUGACCCGUAUUGUCUUACACUCUCGAGUGCCUUCACAUUCUUCCAUUUUACUCCUAUGUUCACCACCUCGCUGGUCCACAUUUGACUUUUUCGGAUGGGGGCUUACGUUUUCACACAAACAUUUUAUGCUGUGUAGAAUUUAUUUUUUGUUUUUGCGAUCACUAAAUCAAUACAAUUUUCAAUAACGGAUCUAUUGGCUCUCCCAUCGAUGAAAAACC